AGAGUUUGAUCCUGGCUCAGGAUGAACGCUAGCUACAGGCUUAACACAUGCAAGUCGAGGGGCAGCAUGGUCUUAGCUUGCUAAGGCCGAUGGCGACCGGCGCACGGGUGAGUAACACGUAUCCAACCUGCCGUCUACUCUUGGACAGCCUUCUGAAAGGAAGAUUAAUACAAGAUGGCAUCAUGAGUCCGCAUGUUCACAUGAUUAAAGGUAUUCCGGUAGACGAUGGGGAUGCGUUCCAUUAGAUAGUAGGCGGGGUAACGGCCCACCUAGUCAACGAUGGAUAGGGGUUCUGAGAGGAAGGUCCCCCACAUUGGAACUGAGACACGGUCCAAACUCCUACGGGAGGCAGCAGUGAGGAAUAUUGGUCAAUGGGCGAGAGCCUGAACCAGCCAAGUAGCGUGAAGGAUGACUGCCCUAUGGGUUGUAAACUUCUUUUAUAAAGGAAUAAAGUCGGGUAUGGAUACCCGUUUGCAUGUACUUUAUGAAUAAGGAUCGGCUAACUCCGUGCCAGCAGCCGCGGUAAUACGGAGGAUCCGAGCGUUAUCCGGAUUUAUUGGGUUUAAAGGGAGCGUAGGCGGACGCUUAAGUCAGUUGUGAAAGUUUGCGGCUCAACCGUAAAAUUGCAGUUGAUACUGGGUGUCUUGAGUACAGUAGAGGCAGGCGGAAUUCGUGGUGUAGCGGUGAAAUGCUUAGAUAUCACGAAGAACUCCGAUUGCGAAGGCAGCUUGCUGGACUGUAACUGACGCUGAUGCUCGAAAGUGUGGGUAUCAAACAGGAUUAGAUACCCUGGUAGUCCACACAGUAAACGAUGAAUACUCGCUGUUUGCGAUAUACAGUAAGCGGCCAAGCGAAAGCGUUAAGUAUUCCACCUGGGGAGUACGCCGGCAACGGUGAAACUCAAAGGAAUUGACGGGGGCCCGCACAAGCGGAGGAACAUGUGGUUUAAUUCGAUGAUACGCGAGGAACCUUACCCGGGCUUGAAAGUUACUGACGAUUCUGGAAACAGGAUUUCCCUUCGGGGCAGGAAACUAGGUGCUGCAUGGUUGUCGUCAGCUCGUGCCGUGAGGUGUCGGGUUAAGUCCCAUAACGAGCGCAACCCCUACCGUUAGUUGCCAUCAGGUCAAGCUGGGCACUCUGGCGGGACUGCCGGUGUAAGCCGAGAGGAAGGUGGGGAUGACGUCAAAUCAGCACGGCCCUUACGUCCGGGGCGACACACGUGUUACAAUGGCAGGUACAGAAGGCAGCCAGUCAGCAAUGACGCGCGAAUCCCGAAAACCUGUCUCAGUUCGGAUUGGAGUCUGCAACCCGACUCCAUGAAGCUGGAUUCGCUAGUAAUCGCGCAUCAGCCACGGCGCGGUGAAUACGUUCCCGGGCCUUGUACACACCGCCCGUCAAGCCAUGGGAGCCGGGGGUACCUGAAGUGCGUAACCGCGAGGAGCGCCCUAGGGUAAAACUGGUGACUGGGGCUAAGUCGUAACAAGGUAGCCGUACCGGAAGGUGCGGCUG
rnacentral:rRNA from 1 species